GUGGGGAAUCUUCCGCAAUGGACGAAAGUCUGACGGAGCGACGCCGCGUGAGUGAUGAAGGCCUUCGGGUCGUAAAGCUCUGUCAUCGGGGACGAACGGCCUCAGCAGGUAAUGGCUGGGGAUUGACGGUACCCGAGAAGGAAGCCACGGCUAACUACGUGCCAGCAGCCGCGGUAAUACGUAGGUGGCAAGCGUUGUCCGGAAUUCUUGGGCGUAAAGAGCGCGCAGGUGGGAUCUUAAGUCCAUUUUGAAAGUUCGGAGCUCAACUCCGUGAUGGGAUGGAAACUGGGAUUCUUGAGUACCGGAGAGGAAAGCGGAAUUCCCCGUGUAGCGGUGAAAUGCGUAGAUAUGGGGAGGAACACCAGUGGCGAAGGCGGCUUUCUGGACGGUGUCUGACACUGAGGCGCGAAAGCCAGGGGAGCGAACGGGAUUAGAUACCCUGGUAGUCC
rnacentral:rRNA from 1 species